rnacentral:rRNA from 3 species
UACGUAGGGGACAAGCGUUGUCCGGAAUGACUGGGCGUAAAGGGCGCGUAGGCGGUCUAUUAAGUCUGAUGUGAAAGGUACCGGCUCAACCGGUGAAGUGCAUUGGAAACUGGUAGACUUGAGUAUUGGAGAGGCAAGUGGAAUUCCUAGUGUAGCGGUGAAAUGCGUAGAUAUUAGGAGGAACACCAGUGGCGAAGGCGGCUUGCUGGACAAAUACUGACGCUGAGGUGCGAAAGCGUGGGGAGCGAACAGG